CAAAAGAGUCCAGCGGAGACAAAGAAAGAAGCCAUUUUUACGGUAUUUUCGCUUCCAGUCCGGAUCCAUCCUAAACCAAAGAGCGGGGCUAAGCGAGGGGCAUAGCGAUACAGUGUUCAUACUCGAGUUGCUCAAAUCCAGUAGGAAUAUCAGGAAUAGUAGGAUCUAGUAGGAGCUUGCCUUGGAAUGCAGUGAGGGAGCCCGGAGCUAUUGAAUUAUUUCAUAACCCAAGGAGAAGAAUAGGACUCUUUACCAGUAUCAUAACCUCUCGAUGGGAAAUGGAACUUAGAUCACGAUGUGAACCUACUUAUGAGUGGAAUUUCGUUGACAAGCAAAUUCCCCGGGAAAACUCACUUUUCUCCAAUUGAGAUGCUUUCUUCAUUUAUGGAUUCUAUGCGAGAUUCGGUUAGUGUGAAGUGUGAUCCUGGCUCAGAAGGAAAAGCUAUAUGCUUAACACAUAGAGUUCGAUGUAGGUAAGGAUGUGCUCCAAAGUUUUCAAUUCCACCUUAUCAACCUGAAAAGAGCUAAUACGGGCUUAGCCUGCCUUUUAUCUUAUCCUUCUAUUCUAGGCGAGGAGGGAAAUUGAGAAUAAAUAGCCCCAGAAAAAACUACAAACUAGUCAAAGGACAACCUGCCU
rnacentral:lncRNA from 1 species